GGGCCUCUAGCUCAACUGGCAGAGCAGCGGACUUUUAAUCCGCGGGUUCCGGGUUCGAUCCCCGGGGGGCCCACC
rnacentral:tRNA from 2 species